rnacentral:rRNA from 1 species
AUUGAACGCUGGCGGCAGGCCUAACACAUGCAAGUCGAGCGGAUGAAGGGAGCUUGCUCCGGGAUUCAGCGGCGGACGGGUGAGUAAUGCCUAGGAAUCUGCCUGGUAGUGGGGGAUAACGUCCGGAAACGGGCGCUAAUACCGCAUACGUCCUGAGGGAGAAAGUGGGGGAUCUUCGGAACUCACGCUAUCAGAUGAGCCUAGGUCGGAUUAGCUAGUUGGUGGGGUAAAGGCCUACCAAGGCGACGAUCCGUAACUGGUCUGAGAGGAUGAUCAGUCACACUGGAACUGAGCCACGGACCAGGCGCCUGCGGGAGGGCGCAGUGGGGAACAUUGGGCAAUGGGCGAAAGCCUGAUACAGCCAUGCCGCGUGUGUGAAGAAGGUCUUCGGAUUGUAAAGCACUUCAAGUUGGGAGGAAGGGCAGUAAGUUAAUACCUUGCUGUUUUGACGUUACCAACAGAAUAAGCACCGGCUAACUUCGUG